rnacentral:rRNA from 1 species
GACGAACGCUGGCGGCGUGCUUAACACAUGCAAGUCGAACGGAAAGGCCCUGCUUUUGUGGGGUGCUCGAGUGGCGAACGGGUGAGUAACACGUGAGUAACCUGCCCUUGACUUUGGGAUAACUUCAGGAAACUGGGGCUAAUACCGGAUAGGAGCUCCUGCUGCAUGGUGGGGGUUGGAAAGUUUCGGCGGUUGGGGAUGGACUCGCGGCUUAUCAGCUUGUUGGUGGGGCAGUGGCUUACCAAGGCUUUGACGGGUAGCCGGCCUGAGAGGGUGACCGGCCGCAUUGGGACUGGGAUACGGCCCAGACUCCUACGGGAGGCAGCAGUGGGGAAUAUUGCACAAUGGGCGGAAGCCUGAUGCAGCAACGCCGCGUGCGGGAUGACGGCCUUCGGGUUGUAAACCGCUUUCGCCUGUGACGAAGCGUGAGUGACGGUAAUGGGUAAAGAAGCACCGGCUAACUACGUG